AACGAACGCUGGCGGCAUGCCUAACACAUGCAAGUCGAGCGCCCGGAGCGAUCCGGGAGCGGCGCACGGGUGAGUAACGCGUGGGAACCUGCCCUUAGGUUCGGGACAACCGCGGGAAACUGCGGCUGAUACCGGAUGAUGCGCUUGGUGGAAACGCCAAGCGCCAAAGAUUUAUCGCCUUUGGAGGGGCCCGCGUCGGAUUAGGUAGUUGGUGGGGUAACGGCCCACCAAGCCUUCGAUCCGAGCUGGUCUGAGAGGAUGGCCAGCCACACUGGGACUGAGACACGGCCCAGACUCCUACGGGAGGCAGCAGUGGGGAAUUUUGGACAAUGGGGGCAACCCUGAUCCAGCCAUGCCGCGUGUGUGAAGAAGGCCUUCGGUUGUAGAG
rnacentral:rRNA from 1 species